GCCCCCAUCGUCUAGCGGCCCAGGACCCCGCCCUUUCACGGCGGUAGCGCCGGUUCGAAUCCGGUUGGGGGUGCCA
rnacentral:tRNA from 3 species